CAGUGGAACCAACCAUGUGAUGAGAGGGUUGGAACAUUCAGUCCCUCCAUCCCCACCUCUGGAGAGGGGAGAGGUGCUGGAGAGAAAGUUCAAUCACCAGUGGUCAGCAACUUAAUCAUCACACCUACCCAAUGCAGCCUCUGAAAGCACAGGGUUAAAGAGCUUCUGGGCUGCGGCACACGUGGAGGUGCUGGGAGUGUGGUGCUUGGGGAGGGCAUGGAAGUGUGAGCUACUCUAGCACAUGAAUAAAACCUGAGGAGGGGGCGUGGGAACCUCUCAUUUAUAGCCAGUUGGUCAGAAGUACAGGAAACAACUGGUGCUUCUGAUUGGAGUCUAAAGUCCCAGAAGGGGUUGUGGGAACCUCCAAUAUGUAACAGAUGAACAAUGAACGGCAAAGGAGCAAUGGAAGAGGGUCACUUAGAAAGCUGGUGCCUAUCAUCCCAACAAGAGACAGAUAAUAAGGGACAAGAGGAUGGAGAAACAUGGCAAACUGAAGACAUAUUUGGAGGUGGACAAGUACCUUCUAGGCAUUUCUUAGCAAGAUUAAGAAGACUAAGAAAAAUACUUCCCGAUUCUGGAUUGCAUGACUGGGUUAAUGGUGAUGUCAUUUCCUGAGACAGGAAACACUGGAAGCUGAACAGCUUUGGGGGGUAAAGUUUGAAGAUGCUGAGUUCAAUUUCCAACAAGUCCGGUUUGGGUUACAGCACUCGGUUAAAUGAAAAAUAAAGCAUAGUGUCUGACCCAGGGGUUCACAGUGUAAGAGAAAAAUAAUGAACACGUUCUCAUAAUUCAGCAUAAUAAAAGGCUAAGUAGAGAUAUGCAGAAUGUUUGCCUAGUCGGGAUGGGUGAAGUUAUAAUGUGGUAACGAAUAAACACCAGACAAAGCUCAGUGACUCAGCCAACAAGAGUUGACACUGCGCUUAUACGAAGUCUGAUGCAGGUUCAAGGGCUUCCCAGAGCAUCUCCCUCCAUGUGGUAUGUCCAGGCCAUUUCUAUCUUGUGGUGUUGCCGUCUCCAUAAUGGCCAACAGCAGAAGAAAGAGUUGGAAGGUCAUGCACCAACUCUUAAGUGUUUGGGAUCAGAACUGGCACAUCUCACUUCCGCUCAAAGUCACACGGCCUUACCUCGUUAGAAGGGAGUUGGGAAUGUGGGCAUCAAAAGGCUAUUCAGUGAGGAGCAAGGUUUCUGCCACAGACAUGAAAUGAGAGCAAUGAAUUAUAUGGGAGAGUCAGGAAAUCGUUCAGAGGGAGGCCAUGUCUAUGCUGGAUCUGAAGGAAGUCGAGGAGGUGGCCUUGAGAUGAAUCCAGAGGAAGGAUUCUGCAGCCGGAGGGAGCAUCAUGUGCGAGGACACAAACACGGAGGAGCUCGAGAUGCCGGAGGUGCCUGGGAAACGGCAAGAAGAAACUAGUAAUUAAAAUAGAGGGUUUUGGGGAAGUAGAAGAAAAUAAGGUAAGUUAUAAAAAUUGGGGAAGGCAUGAAUACUCUAAGGAGGCUGGAUUCUGAUCUGCAGGCCACUGGUUUUUAGACAAGUAAGUUUAUCAGCUUGGUGAGGAAAAACGACUAGAAAGAGGAGAGACUGAAGGUAGGAAAAGCAUCAAGGAGACUGUCAUAUAGUCCACGAGAGAGGUGAUGAGGCUCAACCUUGGAAGAUGCAAGGGAGAUGUAUCUACUUAGGAGAUAAAAUGGGCAGGACUUGGAAAGUGACAUGGGAGAGUGACGGGGGAGGAGCUGUGGAGGACGAAUUUGAGGUUUUUAACCUGCUCUGUUCAAUAGACAGUGAAGCCAUGAACAGAUGCAGGGAAAACAGCCAUCGGAACACAUUUAAGAGUAAAACUAACUGUUUCUACGUGUAGAAACUCAAGACUCUAGAAUCAUCCUUUGUCAGAGUUUGUUCGCCAACAACUAAUCUAUACACAUGUUGUAAUAAUAUUUUCCUUUUAAAAAAGUCCUAGUCUAUGGAAACACGGAAGGAGUAGAUUUUGUUUUUAGCUAAAACCACCCCUUUCUUUGAGUCUUGGUCCAGUUUCUACUGCCUCCGGGAUCCGAUGUGCCUGGAGCGUGGAAGCAUCUGGAGCACCACACUUCCUCACUCCAGCCAAAACAAGUCCACUCAUCUGUGGCUUAUCUCAUAUCCGCCCUCUAGAUCUCCUGGGAGGAUACAGCCCUUACUUCUAAAAUAAUGUGCAGAGAACAAAAAUAGUGUGGAAAGAAGUUUUUGAACAUGAUCUCUGUAAUUGCUUUUCAAAAUAACUUACUCAAAGUUAACAUAAGUUAAUGUUUGUGUUUCAAUAUUGCUUGGUUUUGAUAAAGUUUGUUAUGAUUUUGUGUGUGUAUUCGUGUGGGCAUUCAUUUAACUUUGGGGGAAUCAUUUUUUUGUAAUAAGAAAAGAAAGUCUUAGGUUCUGUUGUUUCCUCUCCUGACUGACUUCAUAACUUGUGGUAAGCCACUUGACCUUUUGACAAUUAAGCCCUUGACUGUGAAACAGGAUAAUACUGUAAUAUUUAACUCUCCUAUGAGAAUAUGAUUGUGAUUUAUUCAAUUAAAGGCUUUGAAACACU